rnacentral:misc_RNA from 1 species
UCUCCGUAGGUGAACCUGCGGAGGGAUCAUUACAGAGUUCAUGCCCUACCGGGUAGAUCUCCCACCCUAUGUUAUUAUUACUUUGUUGCUUUGGCGGGCCGUUAGGCUCCGGCCCGACUACCGGCCCCGGCUGGUAAGCGCCCGCCAGAGGACCCAAAACCCUGAAUAUUAGUGUCGUCUGAGUACUAUAUAAUAGUUAAAACUUUCAACAACGGAUCUCUUGGUUCUU